UUUAAAUAAUCGAUUAAACCUCUCUCCUCCUAGAAAGGCAAUGUUUGCCUUUCCUAUAAUUGCGAUCCCGAAGUAUCGAGUUGGAAAGUAUUGAAGGGAAGAUGGGCUCUUUCGGAUUCGCGCGCGCAGAUAAAUUUUUAAUAGGACCUCUCCGGAUAUCAAUCGAUACGAGACGACGAAUAUCGGAUCGAAGUGCACUGACACUUGUAUUUCUCCGUAAAAACACUCUUCUAUCAGUAACAAGCUAUUAUAGUACGUCACAUAACGCAUGCAUUUCGAUUGUGAUCGAUACUCUUUUCGCGCAGGAACGGACGAGCCCCUCUUGCCCUUCGGUUCAAGUAACAAAUUGAAAUUGUAUGGAGACAAGAACUCAUUGUACCCAAAAUUACAUCUAUAUAUACAUAUUUACGCUGACACGGCAUACAAACGUGUAUGCAUAUUACAUGAUUACAUGUACACACAGACAUACACUUGCCCUUAAUACUAUUGUAAUUGUCUAAGAUCUUAUGAGAAAUUUUCGUUUGCUCAGACUGUAUAAGUUUGCCAUAAAAUGACUGUUGUACGUUCUUCGGAUGUGUAGUACUCGUGUCUAGAAGUAAGAGAAUUAUUCGCGAUUCUAUCGCCCCAGCCACAGUCAGGUGCCAACCGUCGCUCACGGUUUCGUUCUCUUUAGCGGAGCACGCUGGGACACGUAACAGUGACCCUCGGCUCCGAUCGAUAGGUCGAUCAUUUGUGUCACCGUGCCACUUGGAAACCCCGCUUUUCUCUGAGUCCCUCGAGUGUAACUCGCUCGACGCUCGAAAUACGUAUCUCGAUUUCAUCUCGUCCGUUGAUUUAGUAUUUACGCAACCGUCUUGUCUUAUUUAAUUCUGACCAUUGACUUACGUCACGAACUUUCAAAUAUAUACAAACACGACAAGAGGAUAUUUAUAUUCUGGUUAAAAAUUUUGUAAAUAUAAUUAAUUUUUUUUUCGAGGGUAAUUGUUGGCAAAAUAAAAUCUUUUUUUUUGAAAGAUAUUCUAACAAGAAAGUUUUAUCAGAUUCUUUACGUGUAAUUCGCAAAUCUUUAUCGCAUUUGUUUCAUAAUCGCUCCAUGUGAUAAAGUUGAUCGAAUCAAAACGAGAAGCGAGCGAGUCACACUCGGCGGACCAUCUUUGCCUAUCUCUUUGCUAUGUAAUCUUUUGUGCUCCAAUUUAAAUAGCAAGAAGCUCGUAAACUCUGAAUGCCUACAAAAAUACGUUACCUGUAGCCAAAUGUCCCGUGGACCAUAUAGACCGCCGCGAUCUAUACGUUAUUUGCGAAAGAAGGAAAACGAUAGGAAAAAAGAGAGAACGAGGAAAUAUGUAUUUGGGUCGAUCGAGCGUGCGUGAAAUCGUAUGAAAGGGAGCGUACAAAGAGAGCGAGAAUGAGAGAGAGAGAGAGAAAGAAAGAGAAUAACUUGAUAACAAAAAAUAAAAAAAUUUUAACCGUUAGAAUUUUCCUCCCCAGAACAAACUGUUAUGGGGUCUCUCAAGUCGUAUGUAAAGCUCGCAACUGCCUUGUGAUAGAGUCUGGACUGCAAAUAAUUCCGACACGUGACAGAGAUAAUAUAUAAUCGGGCUGUAAAGACUGUCAAUGGAAUACGAUCAAUGUGUAUAAUAAAACAUAGAAGAGACAAAAAAAGACACAUAGAAAAGACAAUACAUCUCGUUGAUCAAUUUUCGUCCAGCUGACCAAUCCAAAGAAGCGACCAAAUAAGUGAGGAGGGAAAUGAUGCGAGCGCUUUGCACGACACUUGAGCUUCGAUUAUCCCGACGCGAGUGAUGGACGGAAGAUGUACGGCGGUCACGUGAUAUAUAUUAUACAAAAUAUAUGGUAUUAUGUAAUAAUCUUCCUUCUUUAGUGCAGAUGUGAGCGAAAGAGAGCAGAGUACUGUUGAUUUGUUUUUUAUUUUUAGUUUUGUCUCUCCUCUUUAUCUCCCCUAUUAAUUUCGAUCGUUUCGACUCUCUCGUAACGAUCCACUUGUCUCCUCCGUCUUCUGCAACUCGACUUUACUUUCUUUUCUUUUUUUUUUUUGCGUUUUGUUUCUCCGCGCCUCCAAUUAAAUUUCGACUUAAGACGGUAGCUCUCCGAGCGGUCUAGGAGUGUUUUCGAGGCGAGGAGAAAAACCCCGAACAGAAAACUCUUGAGCUCCUCCUCUCUCGUCGUUUCUUCCCGUCAUUUCGACCUGGAGCAGCGACGGUAGCGAGAAUGUCACAAUAAUCAACGCAGAAUGCAAGGACGCUCGAGAGAAUAUAUCUCCUCUGUUUCUUUUUUUUUGUUUUCCUCUUUUUUUAUGUUUUCGUCUACCGUUUUUUCUCCUUAUUUCUCUUCUCCCUCUCGUAUCCUCCUCUCUCUCUCUCCUCUUUCGCGUCUUAUUGAUGUUUUUAGUUUUAAACGAACGUAUGGUCGCGCGAUUGUCGGGAUGUGCCUCGGCUCCUCGCGCGAAAUUUCGCGGGAUACUGCCGUCGAUUAUCCCCGAACGAAUGGAAAAAGGGGAUAAUACGUGAAAGUGAUAAAAAAAAAAAAAACACAUAACGAGAAGCCGGUGCGUAUCUGGCGCGCGGAUCUAAUCAUACAAUGCAAUGCUGUGCUAUUAUAAGUCAUUACAUAUACCAUAUGUUAUCGAUUACUUUUGGUUUUAGUUUAUGACAAUUUUUCGUGUUAUUAAUUUUAUUGAGUAUGAUUUUAAGUACUAUGUGCGCGGACGUUUAUGAUUAUUAUCUAUUAAUAGAUUAUUAUUAUUAUUAUUAUUAUUAUUAUUAUUAUUAUUAUUAUUAUUAUUGCCGAAUUUAAUUAUUAUUAUUAUUAUUAUUAUUAAUAUUAUAAUAUUAAAAAAGAGAUAUCAUUACUAUUAUGAUUAUAUUAUCAUUGUAAUCUUAAUAUUUUGUAACCAUCAUCACUCCCCAUGGUCGAUUACUUUUACGAAUCGCUCUCACGUCCGCUGUCCGACCGCCGGUCGACGAAGCGACCUCCGGAAGCCGCUGCUGCAACGAGAGAGGAGUCCGACUACUUAUCGUUGUACACUUUCGUUCUUUUCCCUUUUCGCAUGCUCUCGUUUCUCUCAUGAUGCGCGGCGCCUCGGAGGCGCGACGACGACCAUUGGGAGUUCGCAAAGGGACGGGGGCAUCUCUCCGCUACCCACCAUGUCUUUCAUUGUACAGAUUUUUUCACUUUUAUAUAGUUAUCUCGAUAUAUCGUAACGUUACGCAACAUCGAUUGCGGCGGUGGCCCCACUUAUGCGUCGCCGUAUCAUUAUUGUACGUUUUUGAUUUUUCUAUUGAAUAAAUGUGAACACGCCGAAAGCAUUGACA